ACUCCUACGGGAGGCAGCAGUAGGGAAUCUUCCACAAUGGACGAAAGUCUGAUGGAGCAACGCCGCGUGAGUGAAGAAGGUUUUCGGAUCGUAAAACUCUAUUGUAAGGGAAGAACACGUACGAGAGUAACUGCUCGUACCUUGACGGUACCUUAUUAGAAAGCCACGGCUAACUACGUGCCAGCAGCCGCGGUAAUACGUAGGUGGCAAGCGUUGUUCGGAAUUAUUGGGCGUAAAGCGCGCGCAGGCGGUUCUUUAAGUCUGAUGUGAAAGCCCACGGCUCAACCGUGGAGGGUCAUUGGAAACUGGAGAACUUGAGUACAGAAGAGGAAAGCGGAAUUCCACGUGUAGCGGUGAAAUGCGUAGAGAUGUGGAGGAACACCAGUGGCGAAGGCGGCUUUCUGGUCUGUAACUGACGCUGAGGCGCGAAAGCGUGGGGAGCAAAC
rnacentral:rRNA from 1 species